GUGAACGCCCUUUUGGGCUUAUAACUAUCCAAACCUCUGUGAACUGUGCCCUUCGGGGCUUUUUAAUACAAACACUGUGUAAUGAACGUUAUCAUUUUAACAAAACA
rnacentral:misc_RNA from 1 species